rnacentral:lncRNA from 1 species
UUUGAAAUCCUUUCAUCUCUCAAAUACUCUCUAGUCACCCUGAAACCCUAAUUAUCUCUCACCUCAUUCUACCAUGAUUCCACCGGAAUCCAUGGCGUUUCAGGCCCUGGGUGGCCUGUACUCACCCUCUUCUACCAGUAAACCUAAGCUACUCAAGAUUAUGAAGCUCGACUUCAAUAUCUCUCUUUAAAUCCUUCUCAUAUCUGUAGAUCUAUGACUUCUUCGGCCAUUAUUCUAGCGUGUUCAAGAAAUAUGAGUCUUUUCAACUUAGGAUCUGACUUUCCUCAAGACCUUUCUCAUUCUAGGGAUUUCUCUGCAGAUCUAAGUCAUCUGAGGUUCUGUACUCGUUUAUUUUUUCUUAGAUUUGUGACAUGCCUG